UACAAUACUCGAUUUUAUUUGUCAUUAUUUAUAAUGUCUGUAUUAAUCAUCUCUUUCCAAAAUAUAUAUUUAUAUAUAUAUAUAUUACAAGUCUAUAAGCUCUUAAGCGUAUGCUCUCUUUAUAUAUUAAGGUAUACUUAAGAAUAUUUAACUCUUAUCGAUCGAAGAACAUUAUUAACUAGAAAAAAAAUUUUGAAAGAAUUUUGAUAUGUAUAGAUCAUCUUUAUAAUACAAUUGGUUAUUAUAAUAACGUAAAAAUGUUUUAUAAAAACCUAGAUAUAUCAAAAGCAGAAGAGAAAUGUAAUUGGUAGAUAAGCAUUUAAUUAUCAUCGUGGGUAAUGAAUGGAUAAUAUUAUCAAGAUUACGUAUUUAUCAACACGCAGUGACGAUAAUAGGUAUACUUAGGAAUAUUUAAUUCUUAUCAACUCCACUAAUAUUAAAGCUAAAAAGAAAUUUUCUUAAUUAAAAAUUUUUUUCUUUUUUACUUUUUAAUGCUCCAGAGAACAUUUUGAUAUGUUAUAAGAUUUAUUAGUAAAAAGUUUUUAUGCAUAUUAUCUAAGACACAAGAUAAAAAAAAAAACAAUUACAAUUUUAGCGUUAUUAAGAAUGAGAUUGAUAAGGAUUAAAUAAUUAUUUAGUGACCGACGAUAGUACUCGAAAAGAUUGUAUAGAAAUCGUUAAUUGGUUCAUGAUUAUUGUAAUCUGCUCUCGUUGAGGGAUCGAGACAAUUCUUUAGAUUAUUAUUAAUUCAAAAGUAUCUAUGUAUCUUUUUUUUUCUAGAGAGAGAGAGAGAGAGAGAACGGAUUAUAUUUCUAUUUUAUAGUAAGUAGAAAUGUUGAAAUGAAUUUACAACUAGAAAUUUUCAAUAUCGUAAUCAGUAACGGAUCAUAAUAUUAAAAACAACAAUUUUUUUAUCCGAAUAAAGAAUAUUUUCAACUGUUUAUCUGUAAUCGAAAUAAUUAGAUGUAAUUCCAUAUAAUCUCACAAACGUCUGACCCACGAUCUUUUAAAAAAAGCAUCUUUCUAUACGAAUCAUUUUCGUGCUAAAAAUAUCUUUAACUGUUUAUUAUAAAUAACAGGUCCGCUUAAUUAUCUUAAAAAGAGCAUUUUCCUAAAUUAAUCGUUCUCAUCCAAGUACAAUAUAAAAAUAGCUCAACUACUAUCGCUUUAAAGAGAUUCAAAAGGAUGGAUGUCCAUUUUUUAUCUACAAUUUGCGUUAUCAUAUUCUUUUUCAAACGAUCUCUCACAUGAAUACGGAUAUACGAUAAGCUUCCAAAAAAAUAAAAAAAAAAGAAAAGGAAACAAACUAUAAAGAGUCUCUUAACUUAUAUCAAAUUUUCAUGUAGCUCGGUUUGUAAAAUAAAUUAAAGAGAAAAAAGGUAGCAGAAUGAAAGAAAAAAAGAAAACGAGAGACAGAGAGAGAAGUCCAAAACUGAAAACUCGUAGCACAAAUCACGUUUUCGCUUCGCAGUUCGCGGCAUUCGAAUAGAAAUGUGGAAUAGACCUCGCGAAACUAUAAGUGAUACUCGUAUGCGUUAAAAAACACGUUAUUUUGUAAACCUUUUUUUUUUUUGUUUAGAGAAAAAAAGAGAGAGAUAGAGAAAUACCAUGAGAAUGAAAAAGUGAAUAUACUACAAUACAAACCACGAAGUUGUAUGAUUAUUAUGCGUUGAAAUAUCUGUUAUAAAUAUUUAUAUAUAUGCUAAAAUGUUAAAAGCUAAAGGUUAAAAGCACGCUUAAAUGAAUCAAACCUUUUACAAUAAAUCGAAUAUAUCGAGUUGAUGUUUAAAAAUAAAUGAAAUCAAGAAGAAAUCAAAAUUGAAACAGAAAAAAAAAAAAGUAAAAUGGUAGACUCAACAAACAAUUUUCAUUCUACUUUAUCGAAUAUUUAAUAAAACUUUUGCGAAAUUUAAAAAUCAGGGAUCGAGUGAUCUAUUAUCAGAUCAAAUGAAACUUUUACAAUACCAUUCGGUACAAAAGCAUAUCGACGAUCCAUUAACUUUUCGUAAUAAAUCGAAUACACAAGGAAAUAUUAAAAACCGAUUAACUGACAACGAAUAAAAUAAGGACUAACGA